AUGCAACACAAAUCCAAGCUGAAAUGCAGAGCACAGAGAGAGAGAGAAAGAAAAUAUGCAUUCAAAUUUCAUUUUCUGGUCAGCAUGACAAACAUUCUGGAUAUCACUACAUUUUCAUGACUUACUACUUUGGAACCUGAAGACACAUCGCAUUUGCUUCUUUAACUCUCCCUUUUCCCUCUCUGUUCAGAUCCUGAGGAAGGACGUUCCUUGGCUGAUCUUUGACUGUUCAAACGAAGCUUGGGUGGCAUCAGCUGGGUACAGUGUGCUAUUGUUUUGCAAGGAGAUGUUCAGUAUCUGUUUUUUCUCUUUCAGAUGAGCUGACUGCAGAAACACAGCUAUGGCAUCUCCAGGCAAAGAGAGCAUCCCACGUGAUCGAAGUCCUCUCUGCAAAUGAAAAGGCUCUGCUGUUUCGCACGCCUGGAAUCACAGCCUGGAAUCACAAUGCAUGUGUGACCCUUCUCACCUUCAAAUGUGGAGGAUUCAUCAGUGGCAAUGGUGGUGGCGAGAUGGAUUUCUUGUCAACAGACCUGGGAGGACGUGCUUUAAUUAAAAGAGAGCAGUGCCUCUUGAAGGCUGAAAGUAAGGGUGUGUGUCUGUUUAAAAAAACACAGUGCGGUACAAUAUAAUGAGACGUUUG
ensembl:lncRNA